UGUAACUUCAUUUGAUUAUUGCCGCGCCUAAAUGGCGGAAUAGGUAAUGGCUUAAAACUAAAGAGACAACACUGGUCUCUUUUAAGCCAAGUUUGGUGAGAAACAGCAGAAUGCUUUGUGGCCAAAUACCGAGGCGAUCGCUUUGAAAAUCGGCCAACCGCAGUCGCAACCAACCUUCGAGUGUAAGCGCAUGUUUUUAGCCUGCAAUUUAUCCAUAGGAAAAACAAGAUAAGAAAAUAUGAAGUGAAGUGAUAAGUGUACAAGUACAUAUCCAUACAUACAUAUACAUAUGUAUAUAUGUAUGUAUGAUGAGACUUUCACUGUGCUAAAGUCAAUUGCAAAACAACUUUAAUUAUUAAAAAAAAACAAUAAGAUGGGUGUAGCAAAAUAAAGAAAUAAUAGCGAAGAAACUUAAAAAUGUGAGAAUGCAACGAAAUUGAUUUCUUGACAUAGUGCAACAGAAGCCAGCAACAACAACAAAUCGUAGACAUUUUAUGUAGUUGUGUUAAAGUACCACAGUACCGACAGCAAAGCUGC